rnacentral:rRNA from 1 species
UACGUAGGGGGCUAGCGUUGUCCGGAUUUAUUGGGCGUAAAGAGCGUGUAGGCGGCCUGCCAAGUCGGGUGUGAAAUCCCUCGGCUCAACCGAGGAACUGCACUCGAUACUGGCUGGCUAGAGUCCGGGAGGGGAUGGUGGAAUUCCCAGUGUAGCGGUGAAAUGCGUAGAUAUUGGGAAGAACACCGGUGGCGAAGGCGGCCAUCUGGACCGGAACUGACGCUGAGGCGCGAAAGCCAGGGGAGCGAAUGGG